ACUCCUACGGGAGGCAGCAGUGGGGAAUAUUGCACAAUGGGCGCAAGCCUGAUGCAGCCAUGCCGCGUGUGUGAAGAAGGCCUUCGGGUUGUAAAGCACUUUCAGUCGUGAGGAAGGUAGUGUAGUUAAUAGCUGCUAUUAUUUGACGUUAGCGACAGAAGAAGCACCGGCUAACUCCGUGCCAGCAGCCGCGGUAAGUACGGAGGGUGCGAGCGUUAAUCGGAAUUACUGGGCGUAAAGCGCAUGCAGGUGGUUUGUUAAGUCAGAUGUGAAAGCCCGGGGCUCAACCUCGGAAUUGCAUUUGAAACUGGCAGACUAGAGUACUGGUAGAGGGGGUAGAAUUUCAGGUGUAGCGGUGAAAUGCGUAGAGAUCUGAAGGAAUACCGGUGCGAAGCGGCCCCUGGACAGAUACUGACACUCAGAUGCGAAAGCGUGGGAGCGAAACAGGAUUAGAUACCCCUGGUAGCGACUGA
rnacentral:rRNA from 1 species